AUGGAUGACGACGGGCUGGGAAAACCUCUGCUUGGACGUGAGAGUCUCAGCACCCAAGACAUUGAUCUGGGGAACCUGCCCCUCGAAGAAGUUUUUGAGCAGCUGAGCACGUCUCGAUGUGGUCUCUCCUCAGCGGAUGCCGCGGAGCGGUUGCAGCUGUUCGGCGCUAACCGACUGGAAGAGAAGCGCGAGAACAAGGUUCUCAAGUUCAUCAGCUUCAUGUGGAACCCUCUGUCCUGGGUGAUGGAGGCAGCAGCUGUGAUGGCAUUGGUCUUGGCAAAUGGGGGUAGUCAGGGUCCUGACUGGGAGGACUUUGUGGGAAUCGUCUGCCUUCUGAUCAUCAACUCGACGAUCAGCUUCAUCGAGGAGAACAAUGCCGGGAAUGCCGCGGCUUCGCUCAUGGCCCGCUUGGCGCCUAGAACAAAGGUUCUUAGAGAUGGGCAAUGGCAAGAGAUGGAUGCCUCUGUAUUGGUACCCGGGGACAUCAUCAGCAUUAGGCUUGGUGACAUUGUCCCUGCAGAUGCGCGGCUACUCGAGGGAGAUCCUCUCAAAAUUGAUCAGUCAGCUCUCACUGGAGAAUCACUUCCUGUCACCAAAAGGACCGGCGACCUAGUGUUCACUGGUUCAACUUGCAAGCAUGGUGAGAUCGAAGCUGUCGUCAUCGCGACCGGGAUCCGCUCGUUCUUCGGGAAGGCGGCUCAUUUGGUGGACUCCACAGAGGUUGUUGGCCAUUUCCAGAAGGUACUUACCUGCAUAGGCAACUUCUGUAUCUGCUCGAUUGCGGUGGGGGUGAUCGUUGAGGUUAUCAUCAUGUUCGCGGUCCAGCACCGGUCGUACCGGGAGGGGAUCAACAAUGUGCUUGUUCUUCUGAUCGGAGGGAUACCGAUCGCGAUGCCGACGGUUUUGUCGGUCACGCUCGCAAUAGGUUCUCAUCGCCUAUCUCAACAGGGUGCCAUCACCAAAAGAAUGACAGCCAUCGAGGAAAUGGCCGGAAUGGAUGUUCUCUGCUGCGACAAAACUGGGACUCUCACUCUCAACCAUCUUACCGUCGACAAAAACCUAGUCGAGGUUUUCAGCGGAGGAAUGGACAGGGACAUGAUCAUUCUGUUGGCUGCAAGAGCAUCAAGAGUGGAUAAUCAAGAUGCAAUCGAUAUGGCCAUCAUAAAUAUGCUUUCUGAUCCCAAAGAGGCACGCGCAAACAUUACCGAAGUUCACUUUCUCCCGUUCAAUCCGGUAGACAAGAGGACGGCCAUAACAUACAUUGAUUCUGGCGGCAACUGGUUCCGGGUCAGCAAAGGUGCUCCUGAGCAGAUCCUCAACCUGUGCUUCAACAAGGAUGACAUCGCCGAGAAGGCGCAGCGGGUCGUCGACAGCUUCGCGGAGAGGGGCCUCCGUUCACUAGCAGUUGCUUACCAGGAGGUCCCGGAGAGAUCGAGGCACGGCGAUGGCGGGCCGUGGGUCUUCUGCGGCGUGCUGCCGCUGUUCGACCCGCCGCGGCACGACAGCGCCGACACCAUCCGCAGGGCCCUGGACCUGGGCGUGUGCGUGAAGAUGAUCACCGGCGACCACCUGGCGAUCGCCAAGGAGACCGGCCGGCGGCUCGGGACGGGGACCAACAUGCACCCGUCGGCGGCGCUGUUCGGCCGCCGCGGCGGCGACGAGGGGGCGGCGGCGGCGGUGGAGGAGCUGGUGGAGAGCGCGGACGGGUUCGCGGGCGUGUUCCCGGAGCACAAGCACGAGAUCGUGCGGCUCCUGCAGGCGAGCGGCCACGUGUGCGGGAUGACGGGCGACGGCGUGAACGACGCGCCGGCGCUGAAGAAGGCGGAUAUCGGCAUCGCGGUGUCGGACGCGACGGACGCCGCCCGGGCCGCCGCCGACAUCGUGCUGACGGAGCCCGGCCUCGGCGUCAUCGUCUGCGCCGUCCUCACCAGCCGCGCCAUCUUCCAGCGCAUGAGGAACUACACGGUGCGUCUGGGCCCUCCAUGCCACGCCAUUGCCAGCACCACAAAUGUUCAGUUCGGUUACUGGGAUUUGCUUGUGAUGAUUUCUACCUUGCCGAUGCAGAUCUAUGCCGUGUGCAUCACCAUACGAAUAGUGGUUGGGUUUGUUCUUCUGGCGUCGAUAUGGGAGUACGACUUCCCGCCAUUCAUGGUGCUCAUCAUAGCCAUACUCAACGAUGGGACGAUCAUGGCGAUAUCCAAGGACCGGGUGAAGCCGUCGGGGAGCCCGGACAGCUGGAAGCUCAACGAGAUAUUCGCGACCGGGGUCGUCAUCGGCACCUACCUCGCGCUGGUCACGGUGCUCUUCUACUGGGCGCUCACCAGAACCACGUUCUUCGAGUCUCACUUCGGGGUGCGGUCGCUGAAGGGCGACGCGGAGGAGGUGUCGUCGGCGGUGUACCUGCAGGUGAGCAUCACCAGCCAGGCCCUGAUAUUCGUGACCCGCAGCCGGGGCCUCUCCUUCCUCGACCGGCCGGGGACCCUGCUCGUCUGCGCCUUCGCCGUCGCGCAGCUGGUGGCGACCCUGGUGGCGGUGUACGCGGCCGUCGGCUUCGCGUCGAUCAGCGGCGUCGGGUGGCGGUGGGCGGGCGUCAUAUGGCUCUACAGCCUGGUCUCCUACCUCCCGCUCGACCCCGUCAAGGUCGCCGUCCGCUACGCCCUCAGCGGCGAGGCCUGGAGUCUGCUCCUCGACCGGAAGGCUGCGUUUGCAAGGAGGAGGAGAGACUACUACGGCGAGGAGGAGCGGCGGGGGGCGGCGCUGUCGGCGCGGCGGGCGCUCUCUGACCAUCUCCUCAGCAGCAGGACGCCACGCUCCGCCGUCGCAGAGCAAGCGAGGCGGCGCGCCGAGAUCGCCAGCAGGCUGGGAGAAACGCACUCGCCAAGGGCGCACCUCGAGUCUGUGAUGAAGCUCAAGCGCGCCCGGUCGGCUCACUCCGUUUGA
rnacentral:rRNA from 1 species